rnacentral:rRNA from 1 species
AGCGAACGCUGGCGGCAUGCCUAACACAUGCAAGUCGCACGGGGGGGCUUCGGCCUCCCAGUGGCGGACGGGUGAGGAACGCGUAGGGACCUGUCGAGGGGUGGGGGAUAACCGCGGGAAACUGCGGCUAAUACCGCAUGACGCCGCGGCGUGACAGCCGGGGCCAAAGGCGAAAGCCGCCCGCCGAGGGGCCUGCGUCCGAUUAGCUGGUUGGCGGGGUAGCGGCCCACCAAGGCGUCGAUCGGUAGCUGGUCUGAGAGGGUGAUCAGCCACACCGGGAGUGAGACACGGCACGGACUCCUACGGGAGGCAGCAGUGGGGAAUAUUGGACAAUGGGCGCAAGCCUGAUCCAGCAAUGCCGCGUGGGUGAAGAAGGUAUUCGGAUUGUAAAGCCCUUUCGGCGGGGACGAUGGUGACGGUACCCGCAGAAGAAGCCCCGGCUAACUUCGUG